UUUUGCUGUUUCAAUCAAUUAAUUUUGUGUGUGUAGGCCUAUAAAUUAGCGUGCUUCUAAAAAAAAUAAAAAAUUAGCGUGCUUCGUAUUUUGGAUACUUCAAAAAUAUUGGAUUUUUGUUGAUAUAGAUCUAGAUCUAGCCGAUUCUAGCCAUUAUACUUUAUAUGCCUACCUUAAUAACAUGGAUUUUUUGGAACAGUUUGGAUUAUUUAAUACGCAAAGUUCUAGUCUAGUUACCACUUUGACAUUCACUUUGGAAACAAGACUCAACUACCCAGGUUCUUCGGCAUUGAUGCAAUCAACUGAAAUUUUAUGGAAAAGAUCAGGGCAGAAGUUUACACAGAGAUAAACAACCUUGUCUGAUGGAAACACCAGGUUGUUUUUGAGAGUUUUAUUAACAGAUCUGAGCCCAGAUUCCUUAAAUAAGCCAACAUGUGAGAUAAAUGGUUGAAGCAAUGAAAAGAGGGAAAGGAUGGACCCCUGAUGGGUAUGACUUUGUGGACAGCACACAUUUUAUUGAUGCAAACUUUGAUGAUAUAAUGAAAAAUCUGAAACCCUCAGCUAUUCCUACAAUAUUUCAGUGUCAUAACGAUGCAGCUUCCUGGCCAGUUAAAAAGAAGGAAAAAUAAAGUCUUAAGGUGAAAGAAGAAAUUGUACAAUUCAAAGAGACUUCUGACAUAUUAUAAAAAGAAAGUUCAAUGUUUACAAGAGGAGUUAUAGAAAAGCCAACCUCACCUAAAAAGGUUAUGAUGAUUUAUCUUUACAUCUGUUUGAGGAGCCUACAGGAAAUGCAAAUUAUACAGAUGAAAAAAAUAUCCUUCACAAUAACAUUGCACUUUUACAGUCCUAAUGCAUAUGAGUUUCUUUCUACCAUGUUUAACCUGCCUUCAACCAGAACACUAAGAAGAUGUAUGUGUUGCUCAUUAGUAUUUGUCUUUUAUAAUUCUAUGAUAUAAUUGGAUGAUCACCAGGGAUGAACAAAUGCAUGUUGUGAUGGAUCACCUGGGAUGAACAAAUGCAUGCUGUAAUGAAUCACCAGGGAUGAACAAAUGUAUGCUGUGAUGAAUCACCAGGGAUGAACAUAUACUUGUCUAGAAUCUCUUGAAACUUGAGGCUCUAGGAAAUUAUAAUAAUUAUAAGAAGAAUUACAAUAUUAGAGCAAAGGUUUAUUUUAGCUCAUAUUAUUAAAAAAGUAAGUUCCCCUUUCAGACCAUGAUGUCUAUAGUGCAAAUGAUGUAAAGGUCAUCUGUUUCUGUGGCCUAUGGUUAGCUAAAGUCAUGUGACCAGCACAAUAGCCGUCAUUACUUUUCCCCAACUAAUGUCAGAUACCCAUUAGAUCUGGGUUGACUAAGAGGGGCCUUAAAGAUCCUGAAAGUAAAAAUUUCAGUCUUCUAGGAUUUGAACCUGGGACCUGUGUUCAUAAGCCAAGUGCUUUACCACUCCCCAUUGUGCCUCUCAUAUUAUUAGUUAGGCUUUAAACAUUUCUUCAUUGGAACUGAAAACUUGGUGAUUCAAAGAUAUAACUUUACUUGUUUAAUUAGUUAAUUAAAGUGUUUCAAUUUCACUUUGUUUAUUAUCUUCUGUAGAUUAUUCAUUAUUGAGUAGGUCUAUUUAGGAAAAAAAUCCACUAGAUUCAACCAAUUCAGUGAUGCAUUUCAUGACACUUUUAGCUAUUAAACAAAUCAACUUACUUGCACCUGGUUAGAAACAGAAGUAGGCCACCAAUUUCCUUUAUAUUGCAUGAAGGGCUAAGGAUUCUUGGCCAAGGCAUAAUAUUUUAAUCAUGAUGAUAUGAAGGAUUUGAACACAGGUUAUUAUAAUAACAACAUUAGUGUAAGUCAAGUUUACUAUAGCCAACUUAAUGAAAUUAUGCGAAAAGUAUCUUAAUCUAGUUAUUAUUCCAUAGGAUGUUGGCAAGUUUACCUUCAUCUAUUUCAGUCAUGAUUGCCUUUAUAUGUGGACAAAUAAGCCUAUACAGUAUUUCCAAGAAUGAGAACUUUGCAGGGUAGAGUCAUUUGAUUUACAAGCCUCUUAGAGACCACUGGGACAUUGUUCUGGGCUGCCUUUGGUAUGGGGAACUCUCAGGCACCAGCUAUUAAAGAAGAAACAAAUAGCAGUCAGGUUAAUGGUGACUCAGAGAUAACAGACAGUGUGCUGCUGAAAGUCAUUGAGGUGGUUGGCUACGUUUUGUAUGGAGUUUACAUUCUUGAUGCUGUCGUGGUCCUGAUCAACUUGUUCAUUGCUAUGAUGAAUUUGAAGACAUUUAGAAUGUCCAAAAGAUUAGUCAGCUAAGGAGCCUAAAAUGUUAGCCUGUUUACAAAUAUGAGAUCUUCCUUGACUACACAAGUACCUUACAAAAGAAGGCUACUCACUUGUGUUUGGAUAUGUCAGCUGUUUUGUCCCUGUGGCCCUUUUCAAGCAUGACAGAUACUAUUCUAAUCAGCUUUUUUCUCUGGAAAUUUUUCAACCACGGAAGCUGUGAGGGAUAUCUGAAAUCCAUUGCUUACUUGUCUAGAAAGACUUCCAUCGAUUGAGUGAUAAAAGAUUAAGUUUACACAACUUUUAGUAGUCACCACAUAACACUUAACAUUUUGAUGCUCAAGACAAUACUGUUCAUGAAUGGUUUAUUUUUCUUUAUGCUGAGAGUGUCCAAGAAAGAUAAGGUCAAAGGUUAAUUGGACAAACAAUAAACUUUGUCUUUGAAUCUGAAAUUGUAGAACUUGUAGAGAAAAAAAAACAACUUAGUGUUGUUGUUAAUUUACCAGGUACCAGGUACCUACUAUUCAUUUACUUUGACUGUUGACUUUAAGUUAGAAAUUAAGGAAAGAUUUCUUUGAGCUAUAUUUGUCAAUGACCAUAGGCAUUAAGAGAGUUGACACCUCAUUUUACUUUUCAACAAGAUGAUGUCUUAAAAAAAUUAAGAGCUUUUGAUGGAAUUCUGUGGUUGAAUAACAUAAGUAAAGUUAAUCACAGGAUUCCAUCAAAAUCAUUGCAGUUUGAACAUUGUUGGUAGUGUCAAUGUUAUUAAGUUUUUUAGUUCUUGGUGUUACUACUUUAUUCAUUUUCUAGUGACCAGGCAGUGUUUUAUACCAUGAAUGUAUCUGUUGUAAGAGGUUUAAGGUAUACAACUCAAUCAAUAAUAUCUUUGACAAUAAAAUAUUUUGAUCAAGUUUAUAUUUUUGGAACAGAAUAUGCUAAUGUGUUAAAUGUACAUUUUUCUUUUUUUUUUUGAAUAACAACUGAUAUUUAGUUUUAUCCCUUUGUAUCUUUCUACAGUAGAUGCAGUGUCAUACUAAAUAGAAAUUUAAAAAAAUUAUAAUAACUUCUAAUCAAAAAUCAAAUUAAAAUCAAAUAUCUAAAUGAAUCAUGCUACUUUGAUUCUACACAAUCUACAGGACUACCAAUGUACAUUAGUUUUGAACAAAAAGUUGCUAACUUUAAAUAAUUGAUUAACUCAUUUUGAUAUUUAUGUAUACCUUGUAAUAAAAGUGGCAUUCAUUUUACAAUUU